UACAGAGGGGGCCAGCGUUAUUCGGAAUUAUUGGGCGUAAAGGGCGCGUAGGCGGCCAUGCGUGUCUUCCGUGAAAUCCCUCGGCUUAACUGAGGACGUGCGGAAGAAACUGCAAGGCUUGAGUCCGGGAGAGGGGGGUGGAAUUCCCAGUGUAGCGGUGAAAUGCGCAGAUAUCGGGAGGAACACCAAUGGCGAAGGCAGCUCGCUGGGACGUGACUGACGCUGAGGCGCGAAAGCUAGGGGAGCAAACAGG
rnacentral:rRNA from 1 species